UCAGUUUUUUAAAACAGCAUAUAUGUAUACAAUUUUUAUUUUGUUGAAAGCAAAACCAUAAGUUGCUGUUUAAUUUUUAAUAAUCUCAUACACUGGGUUACUAUAGAAGUGAAGGUGGGAUAAAAUAUCUCAUCUUCUUUAACUCCCUCAAUCACCCUGAAGUAGUUGCUUCUAAUAAAUAAUAAAUACAUACAUCUUGUAAUUCCACUUUCACUUUAUAACUCAGAUUGUCUCUAUUGAAAUCAUGCUUAGAUUUCUUUGCUACUUUAUUUAAAUUCCCAACUCUUAAAAAUGAUUGUUUCAGUUAUUGAUAGAUGCUAAUGAACCAUCCCCAAAUUUUGGGCUCUAUAAUGAUUGAUUAUUUCUCAUGAUUCUGGGGAUUGGUUGGGAAGUGUCUUUCUUGCUUUCAGUUAGGCUGGGAGCAGGUCUUUACUAGAUGAGAUUGUGUGACUGGGCUUCUUUCUCUUUAUCUCUUAGGUCUUUUAUCCUUGGUUCUUCAUGGCAAGAUGGAUGCAGGGUGGUGUUGCAAAUGGGUAUAAAGUGAGGUUGUGAAACAUUGUCAGUCAUUAUUGGCCAAAGCAAGUUACAAUGAUAGGCCAGAUUCAAGGAGCAUGGAAAUAGAUUUUACUUAUUUGUGGGUAGAUCUGCAAAGAAACUGUGGCCAUAUUUAAUGUAUUCUAGUAAACUAGCCUUUAUUGUGGCAAUAUUACGUCUUCACUUUUACUUUUCUUUAUAUCUGAAGGUUGAAAUCUCAAGGAUUCCCAUUGCUGCCAAACUAACUGUGUGAUAUUGGUUGGAAAGUAUAUCUAAGAAAACAAUUGAGAACACACAGAGAUUCCAGGGAUAUCCUUGUACAGAAGAGAGGCCAUGUGAGGACACAGGGAAGGCAGCCAUCUACAAGUCAAGAACAGAGGGCUCAGAAACCAUAACUGCUGACACCUUCAUCUUUGACUUCUCGUGUCCAGAACUGUAAGUGGACUAAAACCGAACACGCAGAAGCAACUCUGGAGGAGAAAGAGUGAAGAGAUGGAAUGGGGAGCUGAAGAAGGGGAGGCUCCAUUCCUGAAAGCAGUGCUCUGAGUCAUCAAGCUGCUAUUGCAGCUUUGUCUGUUCUGACCCUUUUUAUGCCUGAUGAAUUGUCCUCAGAGACGUGGAUGGACCUACAGUCUGUCAUCCAGAGUGAAGUAAAGCCUAUGGAAUACAGGGGAGAAAAAAUCACACUGUUUGGAAGGAAUUCUUUGGUGAUUAGAACUGUUAUCCAAACUUCACUCCAGUUUAAAAGAAGCUUAAGAUCUAUCAGGAAUAAGACAAGUCUACAACUUCAAAGGACGGCAUGCAAACCUGAAUACCAAGUAAAAUGCACAAUUGGAAGGAAUGACCUUGGGAGAAUAAAGAAAUACCCGAUUUAUCUGUCAUUAUGGGUCAAGACAAGAAAUGCAACAAGACACUCCUUUCAAAGUCCCAGAAGAGUUCCUUCCCAAAUAAUUGAUAUCACACAACAAAAUAUGUUUUGCUAUAAUUGCUGCAAUAAUGUGAGCGAUAACUAUAGCAUAAAUAAAUAUGCAUCUAUUCAAUAUUUUAGGUUUAAAACAUUUUUGUAUGUAGAGCUAUUUUUUAAAGUGCAUUACUUAUUCCUUACUUGUAGCAGAAUAUUUUCUAAGUGAUUUAAAAUCAUCUUAUUCAAAUAUUAUAAGGUAAUUAGAUAGGCAAUAUUACCGUUAUUUUACAGAUGAGUAAAUUGAGUUUUAUGGAAUUGAAGUAAUUUCCAAAGGUCAGACAGGUAGUAAAUAGCACAGCCAAAAUUCAGAGUUCAUGACUCCAAAACCCAAGUACUUUGAUAAGAUUUAUUACGCUGAACACAUGUAUAGCAUAAUACAUCAUUGUAUACCACAAAGAAAUAGUCAUUUUCUAAAAAUCAUUAGGGAAGGAUGUGUUUCCUGUUCAAGAGGAAAAUUUUUAUUUUUAAUAAUAAAGUAUAGCUCACUCUCCUAGUUGUGUGGGUGUGUAUCAGGAAUAUUAGCUCAUUUUUCUAAAAUGAAAUAAUUUAUUGAGAAUAACUAAUUAAAAGUAAAACCUUAGCAAAAUUACAUAGAUGUAAAUUACACAUUAACCCAAACAUACUCUACAUACAGAAACUUAAAGAGGUAAUAAAUUUUUUUUUGUAUAAACACCUAGUUUCUUUGCAUUAAAGAUCAGAUAAUAAUGGCCAGUUAAUAGUCAUCUGUAUAAGUGUCUCUUGUUUUGGUUCUUUUUAAGUUCAGGUUCGUCUUCUCUGUGCUAUAUGGAAUCUUCUUUAACUACCCACCUCUUCCCUCAGAUACCAAUGUCUUUUAGAAUCCUUUGAUAUAGAUGCGAACAGUCCCUAAUCUUUACAUUUACAGAAGUCCACAUUUGCCUUUUAAUCGCAGUAUUGCUCUCUUGCAAUAUAGUCUUUGUAAAGCUGGUUGUCUAGCUUAGAAUAAAUUUUAUUUGUCCAGCUAUUCUCUGUGACCUAAAUGUUUGUCACUUUUCUAUUUUCUUUCUGUGCUCUGCAUUUUCUAUCAUCCUUCAAAGAGAAUGGUAUUAUCCUGUUUCAUCUAAAAGGAUGGUCAUCUGUGUUUUAGGACAUGAGCUGAAAACAAAAUGCAUAAUGUAAUGGUCCUCUGAGAAAACUUGCACAUCUCCUUAUACCUUACCACACAUGUCCAGAGCUGCUCCAGGUGUUGGCUGCCAUCCCUCAUUUUUAAAGAACUAAUGUAUCAUGUACCUCCUAAAAUGGUGAUGCCCACUAGAGUCUCAGAGUGUGAGUUAGCAUUAGGGGUGGUGCUCUAGUGCAGUGUAAGUAAAGGACCCUGAAAUAACUGACAUUUAUGAGUAACUGAUUCGUUAGAAAUCAUAUAAAGAAUCAAUAUUCAAUUAAAUCCAUGAAAUCUCUAGACUCUAAGGAAGCGCUGCCCAUUAGAGUUUCUUGUGAUGAUAAAUGUCCUGUAGUCUACUCUGUUCAUCUGGUAGACAGUAACCACUUGUGGAUUCAUGCAUGACUAAAGUGACUGAAGAAUUUUUAAUAUUAUUUAAUUUUAAUUAAUUAAAAUGUAAAUAACCGCAUAUGGCUAUUGGCUAUGUUAUUGGACAGUGCAACAAUAAGGGAUCUUACAAGUUGCUUCAAUUAAGUUUCAAUUUCAAGGAUUGAAAUCCUCUGAAGGAUUCUCAAUUAUAGAUAUGUAUGAGGUUAUUAAAAAUCUUUAUUAGAUAUGAUAUUUAUUCAUUUUCUUACAAUUACCACAGAGGUGGCUGUUGUACUUUUUCAAUGAAAUAAGAAAUAUUUUUUUCAACUCGUAUUACCAAAUAUGUGUUCCAUGAGAUAUUUAGUUUUGAAUAAAUGUCAGUGAAACUUUUCCUUCUAAAA